AACGAACGCUGGCGGCGUGGAUAAGACAUGCAAGUCGAGCGCGAUACUUCGGGUAGCAAUAUUCGGAGUGUUGAGCGGCGCAAGGGUGCGUAACACGUGGGCAACCUGCCUUGAAGCGGGGGAUAACUCCGAGAAAUCGGAGCUAAUACCGCAUGUGAAUUUUGGGAGGCCUCUUUCGAAAUUCAAAGCUGGGGAUCGUAAGACCUGGCACUUCAAGAUGGGCCCGCGGCCUAUCAGCUAGUUGGUGAGGUAACGGCUCACCAAGGCUAAGACGGGUAGCUGGUCUGAGAGGACGACCAGCCACACUGGAACUGAGACACGGUCCAGACACCUACGGGUGGCAGCAGUCGAGAAUUUUUCACAAUGGGGGAAACCCUGAUGGAGCGACGCCGCGUGGGGGAUGAAGGGCUUCGGCUCGUAAACCCCUGUCAGCCGCGAACAAUGCUUACGACCUAACACGUCGUGAGUUGAUUGUAGUGGCAGAGGAAGGGACGGCUAACUCUGUGCCAGCAGCCGCCGCCGUAA
rnacentral:rRNA from 1 species